rnacentral:lncRNA from 10 species
GUGGCUCAUGCCUGUAAUCCCAGCACUUUGGGAGGCUGAGGCUGGCGGAUCACGAGGUCAGGAGAUUGAGACCACGGUGAAACCCUGUCUCUACUAAAAAUACAAAAAAUUAGCCGGGCGCGGUGGCAGGCGCCUGUAGUCCCAGCUACUCGGGAGGCUGAGAUAGGAGAACGGCAUGGACCCAGGAGGCGGAGCUUGCAGUUAGCCGAGAUCAUGCCACUGCACUCCAGCCUGGGAGACAGAGUGAGACUCCGUCUAAACAACAACAACAACAACAACAACAACAACAACAACAACAACAACAAAGACACCCCCCCGCCAUCCCAUGCUUAUUAUAUCAUUCCUUUGAGAUUCAAACUUCUGGGGAAGAGAGUUGAUUAAUUUUCCCCUUUGUUUCUCGAUUAUAGGCCUCAACAAAUAACGAAAGCUCUAAUCACAGUUUUGGAAGCUUGGGAUCUUUAAGUGACAAAGAAUCAGAGAAACAACUGGCAGGCAGCUGAAAGGACUGUGCAAGUGACGGGACUUUAUCUGCAGUAGGUUCCCUUGAGACACCGGAGAAGAAACAAUCGGAAUCAUCCAGGGGAAGAAAGAGAAAAGCAGAAAACCAGAAUGAAAGUAGUCAGGG